GGAGGGCAAGUCUGGUGCCAGCAGCCGCGGUAAUUCCAGCUCCAAUAGCGUAUAUUAAAGUUGUUGCGGUUAAAACGCUGGUAGUUGGAUUUGCGGCCUCGGAGAACGGUCCCCCGAGAGGAGUGGUCACUGUCUCUCCUAGCCUAAAUUCGAGUCGUCUCUAGGUGCUCUUUAGCGGGUGCUUAGAGUGACUAGAACGUUUACUUUGAAAAAAUUAGAGUGUUUAAAGCAGGC
rnacentral:rRNA from 1 species